rnacentral:pre_miRNA from 1 species
UUGGCACUGGCACAUUUUUGUGUUUUAUUUCUACAACAAAGAUUGUGUUAGUGUCAAGC